GAACCCAGACCAGGGCGCUUGUUUAUCAAAAACAUGUCUUUUUGAUAAUAAUUUAAAGUCUGACCUGCCCACUGAUUUAUUAUUGAAGGGCCGCAGUAUAUUGACUGUGCAAAGGUAGCAUAAUCAUUUGUCUUUUAAUUUAAGGCUAGAAUGAAUGGUUGGACGUAAUAUUAACUGUCUCAUUUUAAAAAAAUUAAAAAUUUAAUUUUUUAGUUAAAAAGCUAAAAUAAUAUUAAAGGACGAGAAGACCCUAUAGAUCUUUAUAAUUAUAUUUAUAAUAUUUAUAUAGUAAUUAAUUUAAUAUUAUAAAAUUAAUUAUUUUAUUGGGGUGAUAGAAAAAUUAAUAAAACUUUUUUUAUUUAAUAAACAUAAAUUUAUGAUUAAUAUUGAUCCAUUUUUAAUGAUUAUAAGAUUAAGAUACCUUAGGGAUAACAGCGUUAUUUUUUUAGAGAGUUCAUAUCGAUAAAAAAGAUUGCGACCUCGAUGUUGAAUUAAAGAAAUUUUUAAAUGUAGAAGUUUAAAGAAAUAGGUCUGUUCGACCUUUAAAUCUUUACAUGAUCUGAGUUCAAACCCGG
rnacentral:rRNA from 1 species